CUUACUUGGCAAAUCCCAAGGAUCGAACUUGUAGAGAUCGAUAUCUCCGAUGAUCUGGAGAGAGAAAUGAUAGCCUGCAACUUUCCGACAGAGAUACUGAACAAGAAGCUCUUCAUCUGUCGGGUAAAAACGAAAACCUGGAGUAGGUAGGCUGUGUUAAAAGGGAAAGGCUCUUCGAGGAUAAGUACAGUCGUUCUUGUCUUACUGCUGUAAAAUCUAAUCACGAUUAUCUUUGUGGACCAUUUGGACCAUUGACAAACUGCCACGUUUUGUGAACUGCCGACCUUGUCAGUGAGCUGUACAACUUUGUCGAGCGAGAUAAAUGUGCGGAAUAUUUUCGUAUGUGUAUAUGUAUGUUUCUUUUACUAUGAGAAAACAUUCUUGAAGUCAUUUAUUUUCUCAUGGUCCGUUCGUGACAUAUAAAAUCUUUAUAAAAUAA